rnacentral:rRNA from 1 species
UACGUAGGGACCAAGCGUUGUUCGGAUUUACUGGGCGUAAAGGGCUCGUAGGCGGCCAACUAAGUCAGACGUGAAAUCCCCAGGCUCAACCUGGGAACUGCGUCUGAUACUGGAUGGCUUGAAUUCGGGAGAGGGAUGCAGAAUUCCAGGUGUAGCGGUGAAAUGCGUAGAUAUCUGGAGGAAUACCGGUGGCGAAGGCGGCAUCCUGGACCGAUAUUGACGCUGAUGAGCGAAAGCUAGGGGAGCAAACGGG